rnacentral:rRNA from 1 species
UACCUAAGGAUAAGCACCGGCUAACUCCGUGCCAGCAGCCGCGGUAAUACGGAGGGUGCAAGCGUUACUCGGAAUCACUGGGCGUAAAGGGCGCGUAGGCGGAUUAUCAAGUCUCUUGUGAAAUCUAAUGGCUUAACCAUUAAACUGCUUGGGAAACUGAUAGUCUAGAGUGAGGGAGAGGCAGAUGGAAUUGGUGGUGUAGGGGUAAAAUCCGUAGAUAUCACCAAGAAUACCCAUUGCGAAGGCGAUGUGCUGGAACUCAACUGACGCUAAGGCGCGAAAGCGUGGGGAGCAAACAGGAUUGGAUACCCUGGUAGUCCACGCCCUAAUCUAUGUACACAAGUGGAUCGCGGUGCCAGUGGUCUCAGUGAUGCGGCGAAGGCAUUAAGUGUACCUGCCUCCUGGAGUUCUGUCCCAACAUUAACAACUCAGAGGAAUAGUUGGUGGACCCGGCACAGGCAGCGCAGCUGGGUGUUUUAGUUGGGAAGAUUCACAUGGUAA